CAGCGUGUGUCAGAUAGCAGAUAAUAACUGUAACAAGUUCACUGUUAACUGGAGGCGAUUUGGACAUAAUAGACAAUGAACUUUGCGUAGGCAUCCGAGCUAUGUGUAUCACUGUAGUGUACAGUUUUUUUAAAUUUCUUUCAGACUCCAUCUGUGGUGUCCACAGGUGUGUCGCCAUGGCUUGAAACCAAGAGGGAAGAUAAGUGCUGAGUGAGCACACACAACAGCUACUUUGUCUUUCUCAAACAUCUUCAAGGUCCCUGAGGAGGGAUAAAUGGCCAAGAGGAGGUGCCUUCCCAGGAGAGACUCAUCUGGAGUGGUACAGGGCUCCAGCAUGCGGCGGCAGAGCAGCAGGGCUCGUUGCACUCGCUGUUCCUUUUUCCUAUGCAUAUACCUUUUUCAUAUGUAACUUUAAAGAGGCAUAGGGCAUGGGAAAAUGGGGCUGCAGAGGUAUUCCACGGGGCAGACAGCCGUUUCAUCAUCCUCUCUGCAUGACAGCUGACCUCAAAGUGCACACACACACACACAACAUACUCUCUCUCACACACACACCAGGGUCCAGCCUGCCAUGGACUUACUGUACGGAGGAAAACUACAAAGUGUAAAUCCUGACACAUUGAGCGCGGGUGAUUUUUGUGUCUCUGUGAUUCAUUUUUAUGUAAUAUCAUAACUCAGAUUUCAUCAUGUUCAUCCGUGAUGGCAUUGCGUGUGUGGAGUGUAUUUCUGCUACUUCAUUGUUCAUUUGAAACACGUGUUUGCUUCUGAAUCAUUUGUUUGCUGAUGUUUUUAAAUAAAGAAAUGAUGACAUUAAAUACUGGAUUUGACAUUCA